rnacentral:rRNA from 1 species
UACGGAAGGUCCGGGCGUUAUCCGGAUUUAUUGGGUUUAAAGGGAGCGCAGGCUGGCCUUUAAGCGUGACGUGAAAUGUCCCGGCUCAACCGGGGAGUUGCGUCGCGAACUGGUGGUCUUGAGUGAGUGCGAGGUACGCGGAAUUCGUGGUGUAGCGGUGAAAUGCUUAGAUAUCACGAAGAACCCCGAUUGCGAAGGCAGCGUACCAGCCCUUAUCUGACGCUAAAGCUCGAAGGUGCGGGUAUCGAAC